CAGCAGCCACGGUAACACGGAGGGUGCAAGCGUUAAUCGGAAUUACUGGGCGUAAAGCGCACGCAGGCGGUCUGACAAGUCAGAUGUGAAAUCCCCGGGCUUAACCUGGGAACUGCAUUUGAAACUGUCAGGCUGGAGUCUUGUAGAGGGGGGUGGAAUUCCAGGUGUAGCGGUGAAAUGCGUAGAGAUCUGGAGGAAUACCGGUGGCGAAGGCGGCCCCCUGGACAAAGACUGACGCUCAGGUGCGAAAGCGUGGGGAGCAAACAGGAUUAGAUACCCGCGUAGUCCCUGUCUCUUAUAC
rnacentral:rRNA from 1 species